UGAGUGACUCGCUGAAGAUCGAUCGCCGAUGCUGUGUACGUCUUGGGUCAAGGGCGCCGCGCGGGGGAAUUCCGGCAAGGCGAAUUACAGUUAUCUCUACCUAGUUGCUACAAGGAAAAAAAGUCCUUAUAUAUAGCUAGCUGCUAGUAUAUUUUGCUUUGGUCAGUAUGUGGAUCUAUUAUAGUUUCUAAUCGAGCGUCUUGUGUUAGUACUCUUAUUUUAGUGAGGAUCUCUUCUAACAUGGACAAUAGUGUUGGCUUAAUUUCCUGUUGCAAUAAGCUGCCCCAUGUUGCUAGUACUAUUCAGUGGUGGUAUUAAGAUUUAAGCAUCCUCUUAUAUUGUUAAAAGAAGAUUUAAAGUUGGCUAACAUGCAUGUAUGAGAUGAUAUGAACUUUGAUGAGAGGCAUGAGAAAUUAUUAAGUGUAUGUUUGGUUGGUGUACUUAAGGUUGCCACUGUUUGUCACAGUGUUUAGUGUUUAGUGUUUAGCUAGUCAUUUUUUGUCUCAUGAAAUAAUUAACAUUGAUGAGAGCAUGCUCAUUGUUUGUCUCUCCUCCAUAUAGGAAAAAGUGACGUGUAAGCAUGCAUAUAUCCUUUGUUAUACUGUCCCCAACAUAGCCCCCUUCUCAUGUAGCAAUAUAGCGCCAAGAGGGGUGAUGCCUCCUCCCUCUCAUAGAAGUAACUCAUCGACGAUUUCUUGUUUGGCAUGAGACAGUUCAUCGAGGUGGUCAUGCUGCUCAGGCACACCUGCAACCCGGUCCCAUUGAUCGGCUCGGAAUCAUUGCUGAGUCGCUCUAGAACAACAUCCAUUUCUCAUUUCAUUUAAAUUAAAUUCCAGAUCGUCCUAAUAUACGUUCACAUACUUUGUUCUUUUUUCGUGUUCUGUGUGUACAAGUGAGUGACCCAUUGAUGAUCGAUCAACGAUGUUGCUUAGACGUUGAGUGAAGGGUGAUGCGUGAGGAAAUUAGGCAUUUCCAUGAAAUUUGGUCAAAAAAAUUAAUCAGGCUCUAUUCUAACAUGAACACUACUGUUGGCUUGAUUUCCUGUGUUGCAAUAAGCCACCCCAUGUUACUACUAUUCAUUGGUGGUAUUAAGGUUUAAGCAUCCUCUUAUUGUUAAAAGAAGAUUUAAAGUUGGCUAACAUGCAUGUAUGAGAUGAGAUGAACUUUGAUGAGAGGCAUGAGAAAUUAUUAAGUGUAUGUUUGGUUGGUGCACUUAAGGUUGCCACUAUUUGUCACAGUGUUUAGUUUUUAGCUAGAAAUGCCUGAGAGGUUAGGUGAUCAUCAUAGAAUUAAAAGGCUCUUUUAUUUGGUGUAAGGUAGGAUGAAUGCAUGCCUACCCUAUAAAUAGUGCAAAGUACUAGCAAGUAAGGGCAUCUCAACCGCGGACCCUCAAACCGCCCGCAUACAUCCGAACCGUGCGAUCUGGACGUGUUCUGCCAUCCCUCUCCUGACUGCCCUGGCCCAUCCAAAAUCCUCCUCCCUUGCCUGCAUGCGUUCCCACCCGGCGCCAGCUGUCCGCAUUCAUGCCGCUCCGCAAUGACGCAUGCCCAGAGUGAACGCGACCUCUCACUGGCGCCGCCAUUGAAGCGUCACGCCGGCCGAGAGAGUCGCCCGCGCCGCGUCCCCGAUGUACACGUCCGUUUAAUGCCGGGGCAACGUUUCCUGUACGGGACGAGACGAAUAUCUACCGCGUCCGUUCAAUGUCCGUUCGUCCGUAUGCCGUCAUUAAGCAGGCUUGUCACCCGACGAACCAACUCCGGCGCCUGAUACGUCCAUUUUGCAUCAUGUUUUUCUACUAUUAUUUCUACUAUUUUAAACUUAUAUUUCACUUUUUAAUGCCAUUAUAAUGCCUUUUCUCACUUUCAAAGGAUUCCAAUGCUAUGAAUCAAACCAGGCACUUAGGAAAACAAGGCAAGGAUUGCUUUGCACUCUAUUUUAGAGGAUAUUUUUGAUCCACUCCCAAACCCCCUUUAUAAUUCAUUUGAUUCAAAUUAACUUUAUAGUAAUUUUAAAGGAUUCUUAUCCUAAGGAGUUUUCCUACACAUGUUGUAUGAUCGUAUGAUAAAAUCCUGACGGAAAAUCCAUAAGGAUUACUUGGCAUUCUAUUUUGAGGGAAUUUUUCAUCCACUCAAACCUCUUUGCACAAUUCCUUUGUUUUUUUGCCUAUGGCAUCAAACACUCAUUGCUCCAAGUUACCAUGGUUUACUAAUCCUAUAGGAUUCGACAUGACAUGUCACUCCAAUUCUGUGUUUUUCCUAUUCAUGUGUUGCUAAAAUCAUGUGAAGCAAACAAACCCUAAAAUUGCUUUGUUUUUCCUAUGAAAUCCAAAUCAAAGGAAAAAUCCCUACAUUUUCUUGUGACCCAUUCCGUUGAAUGAAUGUUAGUACCAUAGGAUCCUAAGUUUUUUCUCCACUAUUCCUACAAAAAUAUAGGUCCGACUUGUAUUUUGGAAUUCUCAAAACCAUGUCAAUACAUUUCCGGAAAAAGCGAGCGUGGAUUUUAACAAAAUGGCAUUGAGCGAUAGCUUAAUGCAUAAUGCACACACAAGGCGACAACACGUUCAGUUAUCAUCACCAUUGAGUGAUUCAUUUAAUAUUUCUUGCAAAAUAUAUGAUCUUUCUUUUUGUAGUUCAUUUGACUACUUCUUUUAUUUUGGUAGUUUUGCUAAUUUGGGGGUGAAUAAUAAUAAAUUAACUGAAUGUCAUCACUAAGAACCAUUUGAUAUAGGCAUAACGGAUUCAUGUAUGUGCAAAAUGACGAGAAUAUCUUGCUCGAGUGGCUAUCGAGAAUUGAACAAGAAAUAACUACUAAUUUUAGUACCGACUAAACCAUAGUCACUCUAUUUUUACGGCAUGUUUGGAAUGUAUUAAUAGUAAAAAUGCAGGAAUGCAAUCACAAAAUAAAGGGUUGAAAGCAAAAGAAUUCUGCCAACUUGGGUCUUCGGUUCAUAGGGCUAGGAAAACACACGAGUCUUACUAAACACAGUCAAAUCAUAGUUAAACCAUGUGAAAAGUAUAAUUAAAAUGUUACAACAUUAUGCCACCGUGAACUCUAUCUUACCUUGUGAGUAGGAAUUGUAAAAUUCCUGCCUUUUAACUUUGAAAGUGAGAUCAAAGAUUUUAUUUUCUGUCUCUACACUUUCUUGGCUCCACUCCUUUGAACCAAAGGAAUGAAUAAUGUCCUUAAAGAAAAAAAAUCUAUUCCUAUGAAAUUAUGCUACUACUGAAAAAGAAUUUUUAGCAGUUGUAUUUGCUUGUGAUAAGUUCAGACCUUAUAUUGUUGAUUCUAAAGUAACUGUUCACACUGAUCAUGCUGCUAUUAAAUACCUUAUGGAAAAGAAAGAUGCUAAACCUAGACUUAUUAGAUGGGUUCUCUUGCUACAAGAAUUUGAUUUGCAUAUUAUUGAUAGAAAGGGAGCUAGGAACCCCGUUGCAGACAACCUGUCUAGGUUAGAGAAUGUUCUUGAUGACCCACUACCUAUUAAUGAUAGCUUUCCUGAUGAACAAUUAGCUGUCAUAAAUGCUUCUCGUACUGCUCCAUGGUAUGCUGAUUAUGCUAAUUACAUUGUUGCUAAAUUUAUACCACCUAGUUUCACAUACCAGCAAAAUAAGAGAGAAAAGACAUAAGUAUUGUGACAUAAUGUGUAAUAACAGCCCAUAAUGCAAUAAAUAUCGAUAUAAAAGCAUGAUGCAAAAUGGACGUAUCAACUCCCCCAAGUUUAGACCUUGCUUGUCCUCAAGCGGAAGCCGAUAACGAAAAAUAUGUCCACAUGUUUAGAGAUAGAGGUGUCGAUAAAAUAAAAUACGGACAUGAGGGCAUCGUGAUCAUUCUUAUAACAACAACACACACACACAUAUUAUAUAUAUAUAUAUAUAUAUAUUGUCAUAUGAUUUCUUUUGCUAAAGUAACAACCUAUUCACAAUGUCAAGUAUGAAUCAGAAACUUCAUUGAGAACUAACAAACUAUGAUCUCGGUCAUUGAAGCAAUUGCAAUUUAUCAUAACAUCGGAAAGAGUCAAUAUAAGAGCUUUUCAGCAAGUCCACAUACUCAACUAUCAUUUAGUCUUUCACAAUUGCUAACACUCACGCAAUACUUAUGGGUAUGGAGUUUUAAUCGGACACAGAGAAAGAUAGGGGCUUAUAGUGUUGCCUCCCAACCUUUUACCUCAAGGGUAAUGUCAACAAUAAUAGUUUAUGAUAACUUACAUCCAAUUGGAUAUAUAUAUAUCAGGAUCUUUCCAACACAAUGUGCUUGCCAAAGGAUAAAAUGUAAAAAGGAAAGGUGAAGAUCACCAUGACUCUUGUAUAAGGUAUAAGACAAGAAUAAAAGAUAGGCCCUUUGCAGAGGGAAGCAGAGGUUGUCAUGUGCUUUUAUGGUUGGAUGCACAGAAUCUUAAUGCAAAAGAACGUCACUUUAUAUUGCCACUUGUGAUAUGGACCUUUAUUAUGCAGUCCGUCGCUUUUAUUGCUUCCAUAUGACAAGAUCGUAUAAAGCUUAUUUUCUCCACACUAAUAGAUCAUACAUAUUUAAAGAGCAAUUUUUAUUGCAUGCAACAAUGACAACUUACUUGAAGGAUCUUACUCAAUCCAUAGGUAGAUAUGGUGGACUCUCAUGGCAAGACCGGGUUUAAGGAUAUUCGGAAGCACAAGUAGUAUGUCUACUUGGUGCAAAGAAUUUGGCUAGCAUGAGGGGGAAAGGCAAGCUCAACAUGUUGGAUGAUCCAUGACAAUAUACUUUAUUUCAGAUAUAAAGAAACAUAACCCAUUACGUUAUCUUCCUUGUCCAACAUCAACUUUUUAGCAUGUCAUAUUUUGAUGAGUGCUCACAAUCAUAAAAUAUGUCCAAGAUAGUAUAUUUAUAUGUGAAAACCUCUCUUUCUUUAUUACUUCCUAUUAAUUGCAACGAUGACCAAAACUAUGUUUGUCAACUCUAAGCAACUUUUAUUCAUCAUACUCUUUUAUAUGUGAAGUCAUUACUCUCCAUAAGAUCAAUAUGAUCUCUUUAAUUCUUUUUAUUCCUUCUUUUAUUCCCUCAAAAUCAUAGCAAGAUAACCAAGCCCUUGACUCAAAACUAAUCUUUAUUAUAUAUAGCUCACAGACUCGAUUACAUAGAAGGAUCAUAAAGCAAAGCUCAAAACUAGAUCAUACUAAAAUUUUAUUCUACUAGAUCAAGAUAUUACCAAAAGGAUCGAACUAAGAAAAACGGUAAAGAUAGGAGUGUGAUGGUGAUACGAUACCGGGGCAACUCCCCCAAGCUUGGCAGUUGCCAAGGGGAGUGCCCAUACCAGAUACUCAGUUCUCCUUUGGUGGUGAAGAUGAUGGAGUUGGUGGUGACAAUUGUGCCUUCAGCUUUUUCAUGUUGUAGUUGAGGAGAGCAAUUUCCUCCUUUAAAUCAUCGACCUCCGACUCUUCAGGACCUUGUCACAUAAAUCUCCUUUGCUUUUCUGCUGAAAACGAGAAGGAAUAGAUCGGUUAUUAGACCAGUUAGCCCUCUUAGGGAGGCUAGACUUCUUGAACUUCACGUGCAUAUCCCCAGGUUGAGGUAGAGGAACAUCCUCCUCCUCCGAACUUGAAUCAUCGAUCCUCAUCGAAUGAGCAUCCUCCUCAUCAUCCGUAGUUCGACCACAAGGAGAUAGGUCCCCAUAGGUCUUUGGGUCAGCAGUGAGAUGUGAGACAUAGCUCUCUCCGUCGGAGUCUUGAGAUGACAUCUUGCUCUAAAUCUGCAGCAGGGACAACUCAAAACAAAAAAGGAGAUAUUUGCGUGGUACGGUGGUCAAAACCUUCAAGAGAUUAUAUAAUGAAUUUUUACCGACCAAAAGAAGUAUCGUGCAAGAAAACGGAGUCCGGAGGGCACACGAGGUGCCCAGGGGGGUAGGGCGCGCCCUCCACCCACGUGGAUGCUUCGUGUCCUUCCCGGACUACUUCUUAUUUUCCUAUUUUCUUAAAUAUUCCAAAAUCAAGAAAAAUUGCCAUUAGAACUGUUUUGGAGUCGGUUUACUUACCGUACCACAUACCUAUUCCUUUUCGGAGCCUGAAACGUUCUGGAAAGUGUCCCUUAUGUAUUCCUCCGGGGUUACGGUUUCAAUAACAUUAGUUUCAACAUUUAUUGGAUUACCUGAGAUAUAAUGUUUGAUUCUUUGACCGUUCACCACCUUCAGAUUUGUGCCUUCGAAGUUGUUGAUUUUUAUGGCACUGGAACGAAUUAAAUAUCUAGGGACUCCAAACCUCGGAAAAAUAACUUCUUGAAGCAUCUUAAUAAAGGUGUUAUGAUCAUCACUACUAGUUGGAAUGGCUUCUACCCACUUAGUAACGUAAUCAAUAGCAACUAAAAUAUGUGUAUACCCAUUAGAGGAAGGAAACGGUCCCAUAUAAUCAAAGCCCCAAACAUCAAAUGGUUCAAUAACAAGUGAAUAGUUCAUAGACAUUUCUUGAUGUCUACUAAUAUUACCAAUUCUUUGACAUUCAUCACAAGACAAGACAAACCUACGGGCAUCUUUAAAAAGAGUAGGCCAAUAAAAACCGGAUUGCAAUACUGUUGGGGAUAUGACUAUUAGAUAUGACCCGUCCAGGAGGGGCCGGGUCACCCCUAUGGCGGUUCAUCUCAAUGAAGCCCAAGAGUAUGUUAAAGAUGGCGGUUCAUAGCUAGACAGGCUUGGUAGAGGGCCCAAGCCCGAAGGCGGUUUUAGGCCCACAAGUAUAAACCGUCUUGUAUAUGUAAACUUGUAUCGUAAGGCAUGUAAGAUAAGUCACCGAGCUGGACACGUUAUAUGAGCCGGCCGGGAGUCAGUAGGCCGCAGGGCGUCAACCCGUGUAUAUAAGGGGACGACCCGGCAGCAGCUUAGGGCAAGAAAAACAUCAGAUCGAGAGCCAGGUAAAGCGUAUUCGCUCCCUGGUCGUCGAAACCCCAGCAAUUCCACCUCAAACUGGAUUAGGCUUUUACCUUCACCGCAAGGGGCCGAACCAGUAUAAACUCGUCGCAAUGGCUCCGCAACUAAGUCCUUCCAUGAGGACAACUGCCGUGACACUUCCACGACAGUUGGCGCCCACCGUGGGGCCAGCGUACGGUGGUUUUGAGUUCUUAAAGGGCAGCUUUGAAGGGUUUAAGGGGUAUGCCGUGGGCCGGAUGACCAAGAUUCGUUGCGGCAAGCUCUACAUCGACGACGCAGGCUGGGGCCCCGAGGCCGGCUCAAUUGAGUACGGGUACCGGGUCCCCUUCGGCGGAAUCCAUGUUUUCAUCGGCAAGAUCGGCGAACCGGGCCCUGAGCCGGACAUCUGCACCGACAUCAUCGAGACGACUCAGCGUGCGCGACCCGCCCAGGUUCAACCCACCGUGAAACAUGCCUUUGUUGGAUUUAUCCAUGGGGCUGAGUUGGAAGGCUCUAAGUCUGGCGGUGAGACGGCCGUAUACUCAGAUGGUGAGUCAUCCACAGGUGAAACUGACUCAAUGUAUCAGCUGCAAGACGGACGGCUUGGGGGCUGUUACGAUGGCGACAGUAUUCCGGACCCCCAUGAGCCGCCGAACAGGGUGGCGAUCUUCAUGGCUGGCACCCAGCCAGUUCUUCGUUCAACAGCCGCCGCGGCCAUGACUUCCAGUGCAGCGGCGGUGACAACAGCGGGUGCGGGCGGUUCAACACGCCCGCCGGCUCAAGUUUUGGCGGAUCUAUGAUACGUCUCCAACGUAUCUAUAAUUUAUGAAGUAUUCAUGCUAUUAUAUUAUCCAUCUACUUUGUUUUAUAUGCAUUUAUAUGCUAUUUUAUGUGAUUUUUGGGACUAACCUAUUGACCUAGAGCCCAGUGCCAUUUUUUGUUUUUUCCUUGUUUUUGAGUAUCACAGGAAAGGAAAACCAAACGGAGUCCAAUUGACCUGAAACUUGACGGAGCUUAUUUUUGGACCAAAAGAAGGCCAUGGAGUAAAAGAGUUGGGCCAGAAGAGUCCCAGGCUGCCCACGAGGGUGGGGGGCGCGCCCACCCCCCUGGGCGCGCCUCCCUACCUCGUGGACAGCCCAGAGACCCCCUUACUUGUUCUCGACGCCAAAACCUCUUAUAUAUACAGAAACCCCCAGAACAUAACCUAGAUCGGGAGUUCCACCGCCGCAAGCCUCUGUAGCCAACGAAAACCAAUCUAGACCCGUUCCGGCACCCUGCCGGAGGGGGAAUCCCUCUCCGGUGGCCAUCUUCAUCAUCCCGGCGCUCUCCAUGAUGAGGAGGGAGUAGUUCACCCUCGGGGCUGAGGGUAUGUACAAGUAGCUAUGUGUUGACCUCUCUCUCUCUCGUGUUCUUGAUUCGGCACGAUCUUGAUGUAUCGUGAGCUUUGCUAUUAUAGUUGGAUCUUAUGAUGUUUCUCCCCCUCUACUCUCUUGUAAUGGAUUGAGUUUUCCCUUUGAAGUUAUCUUAUCGGAUUGAGUCUUUAAGGAUUUGAGAACACUUGAUGUAUGUCUUGCAUGUUCUUAUCUGUGGUGACAAUGGGAUAUUCACGUGAUCUACUUGAUGUAUGUUUUGGUGAUCAACUUGCGGGUUCCGUAACCUCGUGAACUUAUGCAUAGGGGUUGGCACAUGUUUUUGUCUUGACUCUCCGGUAGAAACUUUGGGGCACUCUUUGAAGUUCUUUGUGUUGGUUGAAUAGAUGAAUAUGAGAUUGUAUGAUGCAUAUCGUAUAAUCAUACCCAUAGAUACUUGAGGUGACAUUGGAGUAUCUAGGUGACAUUAGGGUUUUGGUUGAUUUGUGUCUUAAGGUGUUAUUCUAGUACGAACUCUAUGAUAGAUCGAACGAAAAGAAUAGCUUCGUGUUAUUUUACUACAGACUCUUGAAUAGAUCGAUCCGAAAGGAUAACUUUGAGGUGGUUUCGCACCCUACCAUAAUCUCUUCGUUUGUUCUCUGCUAUUAGUGACUUUGGAGUGACUCUUUGUUGCAUGUUGAGGGAUAGUUAUAUGAUCCAAUUAUGUUAUUAUUGUUGAGAGAACUUGCAGUAGUGAAAGUAUGAACCCUAGGCCUUGUUUCCUAGCAUUGCAAUACCGUUUACGCUCACUUUUACCACUUGCUACCUUGCUGUUUUUAUAUUUUCAGAUUACAAAUACCCAUACCUACCAUCCAUAUUGCACUUGUAUCACCAUCUCUUCACCGAACUAGUGCAUCCAUACAAUUUACCAUUGUAUUGGGUGUGUUGGGGACACAAGAGACUCUUUGUUAUUUGGUUGCAGGGUUGCUUGAGAGAGACCAUCUUCAUCCUACGCCUCCCACGGAUUGAUAAACCUUAGGUCAUCCACUUGAGGGAAAUUUGCUACUGUCCUACAAACCUCUGCACUUGGAGGCCCAACAACGUCUACAAGAAGAAGGUUGUGUAGUAGACAUCAAGCAGUUUCUGGCGCCGUUGCCGGGGAGGUGAGUGCUUGAAGGUAUAUCUUUAGAUCUUGCAAUCGAAUCUUUUAGUUUCUUGUUUUAUCACUAGUUUAGUUUAUAUAAGAAAACUACAAAAAAUGGAAUUGAGGGUGCCUCAUAUGCUUCAUCUAUUUAAUGUCUUCCCUGAAAAUAAGAAUUCCGAUAAUUGUGCUCAAUUGCUAGAGGAAGAAUGCAUUAGAAUGUUUGGCACUAAAUCUUUUAAUGAUGAGCAUGAUUGCAAUGUUGUUAGUAUGAACUCUUUGAAUAUCCAUAGUACUAAUGAUGAUUGCACUAGUCAUGAUGAAAAUGUCUCUUAUAAGCAUGUCAAUUUUUGUGGAGUGCAUAGAGUUUGCAAGUACACACCAAAUAGGGAAGAUAGAUUUUGCAAGAGGCAUAAGUAUUUAGAAACGAAAUGGUUGCAAGAGAGGCUAGAUGCUUGUGCUGAAAAUUUAAAAUUUCUUUGCCAUCCUUGUGAACUUUGCAAUGAACGUGAUCAUUUAAAUCCCCAAUGCAAAUUGUUUCAUGAUCGUAUCAUGUCCAAAAAUUGUGAUGACCUGAUUUCCCUUGCACAUCAUAAUGAACUUAGUUUGCUUUUUGGUUAUGAAGAAAUGAAACGUAUAACUAAGGAUAUGCCAGAAUUUGUCCUUGAUAAAGUUCUUGAUUUUGAUCUAGAAGAAAUUUUUAUGUAUUGUGCGGUGAAUUGCAUUGAAAAUACUUAUAUUUCCAAUUGCAUAAAGAAAAGAAAACAAAUAGAAGAUGAAGAGAAUACUAAUGUAAGGGAAGAGACUUCCCAACAUCCUCCUAUUAUUUCUUAUGAUGAAUCAGGUAACGAGGAGGAGCCUUCUAUUCAACCAAUCUCAUUAAUAAGGAGCUCAAAAGAGAGGGUUAAACCCACACAUGAUGUGAAGAAGAAAAAGAAAAGACGGAGAAGCAAAGGUAGAAAGGUAUCUCUCCCAAAUGAUGUUGCUCCUAUUACUCAUUGCGAUGAUGAUAAUUGCUAUACUAUUGGUGCUAUCCAAACUAUUAAUGAUGAGAGUGAUUAUGCUUAUGAUAUGAAAAGGCCCAAGCUUGGGGAUGCUAUGUUUGAUGAGAAUGACAUGUUUGAGAAUUUAUUUGCUUCAAUUAAUGUUUGUCCCAAGCUUGGGGAUGCUAUGUUUAAUGAAAAUGAUAUUUUUAGCCUCCCAAGUAUUGAUGAGCAAAUUUAUUAUGAUGAUAGCAUGCCUCCGACUUAUGAUGAUUAUAUUGAUGAAAUUGGGUUUGAAAGAGUGUCAACUUUAGGAAGUAAUGAUCCCACUAUUUUGGAGGAUGUUGAAUCUUAUUGUGAUAAUUAUGAAAGUGGAUUUGGAGAGGUCAUGACUUUAUUUAGUAAUGAUUCCACUAUCUUGGAAGAGGUUUCAAUUGAUUAUGAUGAGAACAAAGUUGCUACUUAUGAUGGUUAUUGUGAUGACACUUAUGCUAUAAAAAGUAGUGAUGAUUAUAUUUAUAAAACUUGUCAUGAUUAUGAUUACCCUUUUUCUGAACGUUACUCUUUUAAUAUGGAAACAAUUUAUAGUAUUCAAGUUUCUUAUGAUACUCCCACUAUUCCGAAUGAGAAGAAUUUUGCUUAUGUGGAGAGUAAUAAAAUUUCUAUGCUUGUAGAUCAUGAAAAGAAUGCUUUAUGUGCUGGUUAUAUGGUUGAAUUCAUUCAUGAUGCUACUGAAAAUUAUUAUGAGGGAGGAAUCUAUGCUUGUAGGAAUUGCAAUAAUAUCAAGUUUCCUCUCUAUGUGCUUAAAGUUUUGAAGAUAUGCUUGUUUUGCCUUCCUAUGCUAGUUGAUUAUUGUUCCCAUAAGUUGUUUGCUCACAAAAUCCCUAUGCAUAGGAAGUGGGUUAGGCUUAAAUGUGCUAGUCAUAUGCUUCAUGAUGCUCUCUUUAUGUUUCGAUUCUUAUCUUUUAUGCGAGCAUCAUUGAAAUCAUCAUGCCUAGCUAGGGGCGUUAAACGAUAGCGUUUGUUGGGAGGCAACCCAAUUUUAUUUUUGUUCCUUGCUUUUUGUUCCUGUUUAUUUAUAAAUAAUUCAUCUAGCCUCUGUUUAGAUGUGGUUUUAUGUUUUAAUUAGUGUUUGUGCCAAGUAGAACCUUUGGGAAGACUUGGGUGGAAGUUAAUGUGAUCUUGCUGUAAAAAACAGAAACUUUGCGCUCACGAGUUUAGCUUUAAUUUUUUACAGAAGAGUGCUUUUAAGUUGAUUCUUUUUGCAGAAGAUUAAUAGACAAUUCUUCAGGUCCACCAAUUUAUUUCAGAAUUUUUGGAGUUCCAUAAGUAUACGUUUGAUACAGAUUACUACAGAAUGUUCUGUUUUUGACAGAUUCUGUUUUCUAUGUGUUGUUUGCUUAUUUUGAUGAAUGUAUGAGUAGUAUCGGAGGGUAUGAACCAUAGAUAAGUUUGAAUACAGUAGAUAUUACACCAAUACGAAUUUAUAAUGAGUUCACAACAGUACCUAAGUGGUGAUUUAUUUUCUUAUACUAACGGAGCUUACGAGUUUUCUGUUAAGUUUUGUGUUGUGAAGUUUUCAAGUUUUGGGUAAAGAUUCGAUGGACUAUGGAAUAAGGAGUGGCAAGAGCCUAAGCUUGGGGAUGCCCAAGGUACCCCAAGGUAAUAUUCAAGGAUAACCAAGAGCCUAAGCUUGGGGAUGCCCCGGAUGGCAUCCCCUCUUUCGUCUUCGUUCAUCGGUAACUUUACUUGGAGCUAUAUUUUUAUUCACCACAUGAUAUGUGUUUUGCUUGGAGCAUCAUUUUAUUUUAUUUUGUUUUGCUUGCUGUAUGAAUAAAAUACCAAGAUCUGAAAUUCUUAAAUGAGAGAGAGUCUUCACAUAGCUACAUAAUUAUUUAACUACUCGUUGAUCUUCACUUAUAUCUUUCUGGAGUAGUUUGUCAUUUACUCGUGUGCUUCACUUAUAUCCUAUGAGUAAAUGGUUGAAUGAUUUGAAUGUCAUAAAUCUGAAAUUAUAUAUGUUUCAUAUGCCUUCCCAUGGGGAGUAAUGCCUUCACAUAUAAGAAGUAGAGGUGGUAAUUUUUUUGAAGGUUAGAAAACAUUGUAUUGGUCACUUGAACAAUUCAUGAAAGAAUAUUGAAGGAAGAGAGAUUUCACAUAUAAAUAUACUAUCUUGGACAUCUUCUAUGAUUGUGAGCCUCAUUAAUUAUUUUCAAACCUGAGCAAAUUAGUUAAAGUUGGAAGAGCAAGACAACAUAAUGAGUUAUGCUUGGGUAUAUUUGUAUAGAAGUUAUAUUGUUAUGGAUCCUCUAACAUGUGGUGCUUGCUAUGUAGAAUCCUUUGCUAGCCAAAAUAUCUGUACUAAGCGGGAAUACUGCUUGUGCAUCCAAAAUCCUUGAACCAAGUUCCUUCCAUGAGUGUCCACCAUAUCUACCUAUAUGCGGUAUUUACUGCCGUUCCAAGUAAAUUUGCAUGUGCCAAACUCUAAACCUUCAAAUAAUAAUAUGUUUUGUAUGCCCAAAUCGCUCAUGUAGCGAUUAGGGGCUGCCAGUAUCUUCCAUGCUAGGUGGGUUAUUCUCACGAUGAGUGGACUCCGCUCAUCAUUCAUGAGAAAAUGGCUGGUAACUGGGAAGCCCAGUCCUAUGAUCAAAAGAUCAAAAACAAAUUCGCAAAUAAUUUAAACAAACUCCCCCAGGAUUGUUGAUAGUUGGACGACACCCGUUGUUUCGGAUAAGCCGUGGAGUGUGAUUGUUGGUGGAGGCGGAGUAAAAUCUUUACCUUUCUGUUUGGGAACUGCCUAUAAUGUAUCUAGUAUGGAAGACAUUGGGAACUCUUGGUCGUUAUGUUGACAAUGAAAGCAUACCUCUCAAAAUUAUUUUCAUCUCUGUUUUAGCUUCGAGCUCUGGCACCUCUGCAAAUCCCCGCUUCCCUCUGCGAAGGGCCUAUCUUUUACUUUUAUGCAAGAGUCAGUAGUAUUCCUUCUCAUUCCAACCUACUUUUUAGUUGACAAGCAUCAUGUGGUGGAGAAAUAUCUAAGCAUAUAUGGCCAUUCAAAUAUAUUUGAUCAUGAAUUAUUAUUGUUGACAAUUAUCUAUAUGAAAAAUAAGUUGGGAGGCGAAACAUUAAGCCCCUAUCUUUCUCUUUGUUCGAUGGAUGCUAUUUGUUCUAAAAAUAUGCUUUGAGUGGUAGCAAUCGUGGAAGACUAUAUGAUAGUUGAGUAUGCGGGAUUUGCUAAAUCAAAGCUCUUACAUAGACCCUUCCUGAAAAUAAGAUGAAUUGCAAUUGUUUGAUGACUGAGAACUGUUUGUUAGUUUUCAAGAAAGUUUACGAUCUAUACUUUAACAUGUGAAUAGCUUGUUACUUGAUCAUGAGAAGCUUUAUGACAUGAGCCACUGUUAUGAUAUAUAAUGAUGCUAGAAAAAGUGAUUGGAACUAUCAUUGAUCAAACUUAUGCACUUGCUAGCAUUCACACUUCAUAAAUUAUUUCUUUUAUCAUUUACCUACUCGAGGACGAGCAGGAAUUAAGCUUGGGGAUGCUGAUACGUCUCCAACGUAUCUAUAAUUUAUGAAGUCUUCAUGCUAUUAUAUUAUCCAUCUACGAUGUUUUAUAUGCAUUUAUAUGCUAUUUUAUGUGAUUUUUGGGACUAACCUAUUGACCUAGAGCCCAGUGCCGUUUCUGUUUUUCCUUGUUUUUGAGUAUCGCAGGAAAGGAAAACCAAACGGAGUCUAAUUGACCUGAAACUUGACGGAGCUUAUUUUUGGACCAGAAGAAGGCCAUGGAGAAAAAGAGUUGGGCCAGAAGAGUCCCGAGCUUCCCACGAGGGUGGGGGCGCGCCCACCCCCCUUGGCGCGCCUCCCUACCUCAUGGACAGCCCGGAGACCCCCCUGACCUGUUCUCGACGCCAAAACCUCUUAUAUAUACAGAAACCCCCAGAACAUAACCUAGAUCGGGAGUUCCACCGCCGCAAGCCUCUGUAGCCACCGAAAACCAAUCUGGACCCGUUUCGGCACCUUGCCAGAGGGGGGAAUCCCUCUCCGGUGGCCAUCUUCAUCAUCCCGGCGCUCUCCAUGACGAGGAGGGAGUAGUUCACCCUCGGGGCUGAGGGUAUGUACAAGUAGCUAUGUGUUUGAUCUCUCUCUUUCUCGUGUUCUUGAUUCGGCACGAUCUUGAUGUAUCGUGAGCUUUGCUAUUAUAGUUGGAUCUUAUGAUGUUUCUCCCCCUCUACUCUCUUGUAAUGGAUUGAGUUUUCCCUUUGAAGUUAUCUUAUCGGAUUGAGUCUUGAAGGAUUUGAGAACACUUGAUGUAUGUCUUGCAUGUGCUUAUUUGUGGUGACAAUGGGAUGUUCACGUGAUCUACUUGAUGUAUGUUUUGGUGAUCAACUUGCGGGUUCCGUAACCUCGUGAACUUAUGCAUAGGGGUUGGCACAUGUUUUCAUCUUGACUCUCCGGUAGAAACUUUGGGGCACUCUUUGAAGUUCUUUGUGUUGGUUGAAUAGAUGAAUCUGAGAUUGUGUGCUGCAUAUCGUAUAAUCAUACCCACAGAUACUUGAGGUGACAUUGGAGUAUCUAGGUGACAUUAGGGUUUUGGUUGAUUUGUGUCUUAAGGUGUUAUUCUAGUACGAACUCUAUGAUAGAUCGAACGGAAAGAAUAGCUUCAUGUUAUUUUACUACAGACUCUUGAAUAGAUCGAUCCGUAAGGAUAACUUUGAGGUGGUUUUGCACCCUACCAUAAUCUCUUCGUUUGUUCUCCGCUAUUAGUGACUUUGGAGUGACUCUUUGUUGCAUGUUGAGGGAUAUUUAUAUGAUCCAAUUAUGUUAUUAUUGUUGAGAGAACUUGCAGUAGUGAAAGUAUGAACCCUAGGCCUUGUUUCCUAGCAUUGCAAUACCGUUUACGCUCACUUUUACCACUUGCUACCUUGCUGUUUUUAUAUUUUCAGAUUACAAAUACCCAUACCUACCAUCCAUAUUGCACUUGUAUCACCAUCUCUUCGCCGAACUAGUGCACCCAUACAAUUUACCAUUGUAUUGGGUGUGUUGGGGACACAAGAGACUCUUUGUUAUUUGGUUGCAGGGUUGCUUGAGGGAGACCAUCUUCAUCCUACGCCUCCCAUGGAUUGAUAAACCUUAGGUCAUCCACUUGAGGGAAAUUUGCUACUGUCCUACAAACCUCUGCACUUGGAGGCCCAACAAUGUCUACAAGAAGAAGGUUAUGUAGUAGACAUCAAUCUACUAGACGCUCUGGCGACUCUGAUGGAGGUUCAUGUGACCCCAGACAACCAGGAACAUCAUAAGGCGGAAGUAGCUAAAUUGCGUGAUGGGAUCGCGCAGGCUAAGGCCGACUUGGCAGCAGAAAACUCCAGGAUGGCUGUUGAACGGGCCAUUUUGAGUGCCCAACCGCAGCGGAUUGAUGUCUACUACGCAACCUUCUUCUUGUAGACGUUGUUGGGCCUCCAAGUGCAGAGGUUUGUAGGACAGCAGCAAAUUUCCGUCAAGUGGAUGACCUAAGGUUUAUCAAUCCGUGGGAGGUGUAGGAUGAAGAUGGUCUCUCUCAAACAACCCUGCAACCAAAUAACAAAGAGUCUCUUGUGUCCCCAACACACCCAAUACAAUGGUAAAUUGUAUAGGUGCACUAGUUCGGCGAAGAGAUGGUGAUACAAGUGCAAUAUGGAUGGUAGAUAUAGGUUUUUGUAAUAUGAAAAUAUAAAAACAGCAAGGUAACUAAUGAUAAAAGUGAGCACAAAUGGUAUUGCAAUGCUAGGAAACAAGGCCUAGGGUUCAUACUUUCACUAUGCAAGUUCUCUCAACAAUAAUAACAUAAUUGGAUCACAUAACUAUCCCUCAACAUGCAACAAAGAGUCACUCCAAAGCCACUAAUAGCGGAGAACAAACGAAGAGAUUAUGGUAGGGUACGAAACCACCUCAAAGUUAUUCUUUCGGAUCGAUCUAUUCAAGAGUUCGUACUAGAAUAACACCUUAAGAUACAUAUCAACCAAAACCCUAAUGUCACCUAGAUACUCCAAUGUCACCUCAAGUAUCCGUGGGCAUGAUUAUACGAUAUGCAUCACACAAUCUCAUAUUCAUCUAUUGAACCAACACAAAGUACUUCAAAGAGUGCCCCAAAGUUUCUACCGGAGAGUCAAGAUGAAAACGUGUGCCAACCCCUAUCACUACAAAAAAAUACACUUCCGUGAUGAUACGUGUUUGUCACAGUAGGUCGCGUUUUCUAUCAUGCAUGUACAUCCAUGACAAAUUUAUGACAGAAUCAAGAUAGUCAUACCUGUGCUGUCGUAGAAGUGUUCCAUGACAUUGCCAAAAUUAUCAUCACGGAAGUGUCCACUUCCAUGACGAUAAAUCGCGCGUCACAGAAGUGCUUUCGUCAAGGGUGACCGACAUGUGGCAUCCACCGUAACGGAACGCCGUUAAGCUAUCGGGUCGGGUUUUGGAUCCGAUAACCCGUUAACAGCCCCGACCAAUGGGGAUUUUCCACGUGUAAAAUCAUCAUUGGCUGGAGGAAACACGUGUCGGCUCAUCGUUGGGACAGAUAUUAUCCACUCAUUGGACGGAAGGCGCCUAUGAUACGUCGACACGUGGCACGGCCCAACAGAGGCCCAUUCCUGUGAAAAGGCUGGCCCAUUUGACUUGGUCAAAAGGUGGCGGGCCGGCCCAUGGAAAGCCUGUUAACGGCCUGUUCGCAUAUAGCCCAUUUACAGCCCGCUAACCCAAGGCCCGUUACGCCCUAUCCGAAUUAGGCCCAGUAGCGUCAUCUGGGCCAUCCAAUAUGAUUCCAGCCCGUUUUCACUUCUGGCGCAUGUAUGGCCCAUGACGUCUUUCGGCCCAUAUGAGGCCCUAUGUAACUCUUGACCUAUUAAUGGCCCGUGGUGAAACUGGCCCGUAAUGAACAGUGUAUCACUUUACACCCAUUAACGGCCCGUGGUGAAACUGGCCCGUAAUGAACAGUGUAUCACUUUAUACCCAUUAAUGACCCGUUAUUCUGUUGGGCCAUUUCCAGCCCAUGUUAUCUUUCGGCCUUCUCAGAGCCCAUUUAUUCUUGGGCUCAUUUCCAGCAUUCGUUUACUUACGGCCCGUUACUGUCAUUUUCUGCUUGUGGGCCAAAUUCAGCCCGUGGUUAAAGUCGGCCGUUUGUGGUCCGUUAAUACGUUGGGCCGUUUUCAUAGCGUCAUCAAAUAUGGCCUAUUAACGAUGGCCCGUUAUGGUCGGCCCAUGAAUGGACGAUUCCAACUCUAGCCCGUUUACAACCAUAAUGCGGUCUGUUUGGCCCAUGUUUGGCCAAUCGAUCAUACGGCCCGUAUAAGGCCCAUUGAUGAUACGGCCCGCAGAAGGCCCAUUGUUUCUAUGGCCCGUAGAAGGCCCAUUGUUUCUACGGCCCGUAGAAGGCCCACUGUUUCUACGGCCAGUAGGAGGCCCAGUGUCACUACAGUAAAUAUUAGCCCAUGGUUAUUGUGGCCUAGUUUAAAAAAAUAGGUUAUUGCAGCCACUAGCUAACCGUGGAAAAAGAACUGCAAUGACUACAAGCAAACAAAUAAACAAGACAACAAGGAAAUAAAUAAGCAAGCAACUAACGCUAGGCUAUCACGGCUAUUACACAUAUUACAUCCACUGGGCAUCAAAGUUCGCCACCAGUGCAAAUAUAGGGAACAAAGCAGCAUAUCAUAUACACUGGUUGUCAAAGUUGGCGACCAGCGCAAAUAAACGCCACAGCAAAACAAAUCCAGAACUGAAACCACUUCAGAAGAUCUCAAGAAACAAUAUCCUGGGUACCCAUAAUGCUGGCAAGAUGCUUAGCAAGCUUAUUAACUUUCUCUUGUUUGGCGCUUAAAUCCUCCAGCGCUUGCUGUUGCACCAGAAAAUAUGCAUCUGAAUUCUGCAGGGACUUCCUCAGUCCUUCAGCUUCCUGUCGCAGCACAUCUGAUCGAUGUCUUUCAACUUGAAGUUGAGACUCAAGAAGACGAACUGAUUCAGGCAGCGAGUUCGAAGAGCUUGUGCCAGCAGUAGUGGCCAGUAACUCGAACACUACAUCAAGACAGGACUUUUGGGUUCCCUCACUGUCGUCAAGAUAGUUUUUAUCAGCUUUCUUGGAGACCAACAGGGAUGUCUCACUAUCUUGAACCUUAUCUGCAUUACUUCCUUUACCAUUGGAUAACGCGGUACUGUUCUCCAAUAUUUUGUCCGCAUUCUAAAAGAGAAACAAGCGGACACAUCACAUGUUUACCAUGUUGUAUCUGAAACUCAUUUUGGUAAAUGAGUUCAGUAGUAAAGUGGACAGGAUAACAGCAUGAAACAAACAUAUAUCUAUGUACAAUGGUCACUUUAUGGUCUAUAUCAUUCUAGUUUUUGUUGCCAAAUCAUGAUAGAGACACAGUUCAAAUAAUAUUUGUUCAAGACAAAGCAGAAUAGACAGAAUAUAAGUGUGGGUAACUAUAGAGCAAUAACAACACUUGUAAUGUGCAUGACAUGAGAACAUAACUGUUUAUUCAAUUGAUACUGAAAUCAACAUAGAGCAGGUUACAACAGCAAACCAGUUAAAUAAACAGGUUUAAAACAUACCUGUUGCGCCAUUGGAGUUUCAAUUCCGUCCUUCAAAAUUGAAAAUAGUUGGUAUGAGUAAAUACAGUAAUGCAAGAGCAAAGGAGUAUGAACCAUAGCUACAGAACCUGACCUGAGAACAAAUCUUCUUCUCCUUUAAGCGUUGAGUUGGGAUUCAGAGUGGUGGUCCUCGUGCUUUGGGCACUGCAGUUCCCUUACUAACUGCUCGUGUUUGGGUGCUCUGUGGUGGAGACGGUGCUGUGUCAACUGGAACUGGGUUACUAUCUGCCGGGGUUGGGGUUAGAAGGGGUGUAGCUGGUUCUCCGUCCAACUGGGUAGGGGUACAAUCUGCGAGAGUCUGGGUUAUUAGUGGUGGAUCUGGUCCUUGGGCAAGUACAACCGUGGUUCUAUCUGCAUCAACUGGUAGCACUAUCUUUUCUGAAGACCGUGUUGUUACUCCCUUAGAUACUGCCAUCACGCUCUCCAAUUCAAAUGGCUGAUAAACAAGAAAAAUAAUUGAAAGUAUAGACAUUGUAUGAUAGACAGGUGCAAUGGAUAGUGGGGAAUAAAAGAGGGCAUGAAAUAAUUCAUAUUUAUGUUGUCUAACCAAACAGGAUAGCAUGACACAGUUUCACAUAUAUGAUGGCUAACUAAACAGGAUAGCAUGACACAAUUUCACAUUAUGAUGGCUAACUAAAAAAGAUGGAAAGACAUAGUUCAAAAUAUGAGACUAUGUAAACAGGAUGACAUGACAUAACUAUAUAAUGUGUUUAUUAAAUAGGUUGGCAUGCCAUAAUUCACAUACAUUCACGGAUAGAAUGCCAUAAUUCAAAAUAUGAUGAUUGUAAACACUAAACAGGAUGAGAUGAUAUAACUAUAUGAUGUCUUUAUUAAAUGGGUUGCCAUGCCAUAAUUCAGAUAGAUGAUGUGUAUGUACUAUGUAAACAUGAUGGCAUGAUAUAAUUCAAAUAUAUGAUUUAUAUAGUAAGCAAGUAAGCAGAUGGCAAUCCAUAUAUGAUGUAAAAACUAAGCAAUGCAAGACAACAUGCAUGACAUGGGUAAUAUAACCCUGCCAAGUUUGAGCAUAGACCUCAGGGGGGAAAUAGGACUGGUCAUCAGUCUCUGAAUCCUCCUCUGAGGAGCUCUCUGUAACUAGCAAGAUGUCUGCUUCAGCAGGUAGCAUUGUCUGCUCUGAAUACCUUAUUUUCACUCCAGAUACUUCCAUCACCGCUCCAAAUGGCUGAUGCACAGGAAGAGUAGUUGAAUAUACAAACGUUGUCGACAAAUGGAACACGUAAUACAAAAAAAUGAUAGCAUGAUAUAAUUCACAUACAUGAUGAUUGGCUAAACAGCAUGGCAUUGCAUAAUUCACAUAUAUAAUGCCUUUGCAACAAGAUAGCAUUGUAUAAUUCACAUAUAUAAUGUCUUGCAACAAGAUGGCAAUGCAUAAUUCACAUAUAUGGUAAUUAGACACUGAACAGGUGGCAUUCACACAAAGCAUGUCUAAACUAAUCAAAUGACAUAGCAAUGCGAGACACCAUACGCACGAUAUGAGCAACAUAACCCUGCCAAGUUAGAGCAUACACCUCGGGGGGGGGGGAAUAGGACUGGUCAUCUGUCUCUGAAUCCUCCUCUGAGGAGCUAUCCGUAACCAGCGAGAUAUGCGCUUCGUCAGAUAUCAUAGUCUGCUCCGAAGACCUUGUUUUCACUCCAGAAUUUGCCAUCACCGUGUCAAAUGGCUGAUGCACACAAAGAGCAGUUGAAUGUACUAACAUUGUUGACAAAUGUAAUAUGUAACGAAAAAAAGGAUGGCCUGAUAUAAUUUACAUAUAAGAUGACUGGCUAAGCAGGAAGGCAUUGCAAAAUUCACAUAUAUGAUGCCUGGCUAAACAAGAUGGCGUUUCAUAAUUCACAUAAACGAUGAAUAAACUAAACAGAUGGCAUUCGCACAAAGGAUGUCUAAACUAAGCAGAUGACAUAUUUGAUGUAUAAAGUAAGCAAUGCAAGAUACCAUAUGCAUGAUAUAACCAACAUCAGCAUGCCAAGUUAGAGCAAAGACCUCAGGGGGUAAAUAGGAGUUGUCUUCUCCUUCUGAAUCCCCCUCAGAACAGAUAUCUUCCUCUCGAUUACAAUCCGAAAUGCGUGGAGGGGGGCUGCCUUUGCGCCUACCAUGGAGCGACGUCUGCAUGAAAUUUUAUUGCCACGCAAGGCUCGUCUCUUUUGCUCUACAUGUUCAGUUCCAUUGUUUACAAUAACUGUCAUGCAUAGGAAUAAAACAUAGUGAGAUUAUGUAAGGAGUGCAUGCAGAAAUCCAGAGCGAUGGUAGCAACCUGUGGAUAGACCCAAAACCAAUAAUAGCAGGCAGAUAAUGGCUUCAGUUAAAAAAUACAGAUAAUGGCUUCUUUACUGUUUGUUUCCCACCCAACAUGAAACUCAUAGUAGACACCGGAGAUUAACCAGAUAGUAGAUAGAUACUAUUGAUAGCGGCCCCGAUAUGUACCCACAACCAUUUCAAAACUCAAGUUUGACCAUUAGUUUGGAGCUGACUCAGAGUCUAAUCGGUGAACAGGACGAUAAAGUAGCAUGUAAUAUUAAGCAAUGCAUAACGUAAGCAGACACGAAAGAGUGUGACCUGUCUUGCGGACACGUGUAGUCCUCGAGGUCAUCUCCUCGGUUGAUGAUGGUAAUGCAGUUUUCAUGGAUGCUAGCGGCGGGGAAGAAGAUCUGAGGUGGCGAAAGACAGUCUGGAGGCCGGAUCCCUGCUGUGCUGGACCCUUCUGUCGUUGGAGCAGCUGAGCUGGGGUGGACGACGGCGCAGCAGGAGCGGGACAAACCACGCAAGGUUUUCUUUGACAACUAUCUAUAAGAGAAGUAAUUCUGUAAGGGCUCGUUUGAAUUGGAGGAUUCCAACAAUGCAGGGAUAGGAAAUAGACAGGAAUAGGAUAGGAAUGCACGUGCAAAACAGAGAAUUUAAAAACACAGGAUUUCUGCCAAUCUAGGUGUUUGAUUCACAACAAUUGGAAGAUCACAGGAUGCAAAGAAGCAUGGUGAGAUUAAGUCAAGCCACAAGAAAAUGUACGGUUAUAAUGCUAUUAUGCUACUAUCUCUUAGUCUUGUGCUUCAUGAAUAGGAAUAUGAAAAGGAGGACAAGUGAAAAUUAAAAUUCCUAUGUUUUUUAUUUCAAGGAGACACUAAAGGAACAAAUCCGUGUGCUCAGUGGACAAUAUAUAUAACAUGUAGAGUAAAAAAGAGAUGCAACAAGUGUACAACCUCUUUGGCGAAGCCAUGUCGAUCUCAGCGUGAUUGGGUUGGACGGUGAGGAUGCUCCGGCUGACUUUGCUGUCGGAGGAGGGGAAGAAGAUCUUAGGCGUCUGGAGAUGGAGCCCGAGGUACUGCUCCGCUGUGAUGGAGGGUUUCGUCGUUGGAGCAGCUCCGGUGAGUUGUACGACGCCGAGGCUGAAGCAGGACAAGAGAGACAACGAACAACGUUAGCCUGAGUGGAAUUCUAAUAGCAUCUCCAAUACAUGACGUAAAAUACAUAACAACAAAGUGCUAGAUGUAAAAUACAUUAGCCGCUCAUCCCUGAACUUAACUGUCGAAACUGAACUUAACUGUCGAAACUGAACUUAACUGUCGAAACUGAAUUUUGCUGUCGAAACUGAAUUUUGCUGUCGAAACUGAACGCACUAGCAAGGUGAGGCUACACGUCGGUCGACUGACUUUUUAAUCUCUGGUCAGUCGAUUUUGCAGCCGUUGGAUACGAAAUCAAGGGCCUGCGGUUCAUCUUCAACCUCCACCCCCCUGAGCCGCCAGCCACCACCGGCCAAACAGCAGCUCCCCGCCGCCUGCGGCCGGCGGUGCGCCGCCCCGCCCGCCCCGAAAACACUCCCCACCGCCGGUCCGCCGCCGCCCCGGCCAUCCCUCUAGGCCCCCCGUGCCGAGCUUUUUCUCCGGCGAUCCCCACGCCACCGCCCCGCCAACGCCCCGCCACCGCCGGCGACCACCGCCUCCAUCCUGAACCCUAAGAUAGAUAGUGGGGUACCUCUCCGGCGAGCCCCCCUCCCCGCUGCGGCUGGUUCUUCCUUCACCCCGGUGAACCCCCCCCCCCCCUGAAAAUCGACUGACCCAAAAGUCGAUUCAGUCGACUGAAGUGUAGCUAAAUCGGAGCAGCAUCGCAAGCAAGAGCAAGAGCGAGAGCAGCAGCGCGAGCAAGAGCAAUAGCAAGAGCAGACCAGGCAGGGGACCGAGAGCAAGAGCAGAGUAGCAGCGCGAGCAAGAGCUAAAGCAGCAGCAACUCCUACUGAUGUGGAUGUCGCCGCCGAGGGAGCGAUGCCGUGGAGGAAGUGGCCGGCGAUGCCGCCGUGGAUGGAGCCGCGCCGUGUCGGCUCGGGACCGAGCGCCGGCAGCACCGUGAGAUCGAAUCAAGAAGAAAAUGUGGCGAUUAGUGUACAACCUCUUUGGUGGCGCCGAUUAGGCCGCAGCUUCAUCCGAGGAAACGGUGAUGAUGAUGCUCUUCCGGUGGUGCAGGUGAAGACGGCGGUGUGGGAAUGGAGGUGGCGCGAAAGACGAGGGGAACGUCGGGGCAGCUCCUUGGAGGUGGAGGACGGGGUGGCUGAACCGGCGGGACAAUGAGAUCGAUGACGGAUCCUCAUCCGGUACGGUGGAUGAGGGACGUCGAGGUGUUGCUGUGGACGACGUCGUCGGGGAAGAGGCUCCGGCUGGGUGGCGGACGGAGCAGGGUGUGGGGUUUCGUCGCGGGUUUUCGCGGCCUCGGUGUACGAAUGGGUGGGCGGAUGGGAUGGCAGUGGGGAACCAUGGCUUAGAGACGCGCUUGUCCGAAAUGUGGGGUAAGUUACGAAAGUACCCCCACCGAUUUGAGGCGGUUCUUUCGGUUCAGGGGUAGCACGGGCAUUUCGCGUGUCGGGAUUUCACAGGAGGUGGGAGUUUUCGCGCGCGUUGUAAUUUCGGAAUAGCAAGGCGCGUGUUGAGAUGGAGGGAGUUGUCGGAGCACAACGAGACAAAGAUAUAUCUUAAAUAUUUCGGGCUAACAAGGCGCGGGUUGAAAUUUCCGGACAAGCCUAACGUGUACUGUACCAAAUCAAUGCGCACUACAAAUGUCAUUCAAAACUUUGAAUUCAUGUUAUGUUCAAUUAAAAUAUUUCGCUUCGUGUAUAAUGCAUGCAACCUACUACUCAAAUGAACGUUUUAGUGCAUUCCAAACGUAUAUACUACCGCUUCAAUAUGAACUAAAUUUGAAUUCGUUUCUCUAUUUGAAUAAGAUCUACAGUAAUGAUUGUUGUGAAGUCAAAGCAUUUGAAUUCGUUUCUCUGUUUUAAUAAGAUCUACAAUCAUCAUUAUUGUCAAGUUAAACCAUCGUUUGUGUAUUAUCUUCACAUCACACCACAUGAUUAGUCUCGAGUUACAUAUGAACUAUGUGUACUAUAUGAACUCGAACUAGAUUUUUUGAAUCCACUUUAUUUUGAUUUCAUAUCACAUUAUAUUUCUAGCUCUAGCAAGAUCUUCAUAAUCUAAACCAUGUCUCAUAUGUAUAAUGUGUUUAUCACAUUAUGUAUGGUGCCCCGCCCCCUACGCCUACAAGUAUUUAGAUGUGAGUUGCAAACACCACACAUUACCACAAAUUCAAAUAAAAUGUGAGAAUGUUCGAUAUAUAGUAUUGUUUAGAUUGUUCGAUAUUUAGUUGUAAGCUGCAAACGCCACACAUUAUCACAAAUUCAAAUAAAAUGUGAGAUUGUUUGAUGUAUCGUAUGGUUUAGAUUGUUCGGCAUUUAGCUGUGAGUUGCAAACGCCAUGCAUUAUCACAUUAUGGUAUAACAUGUGCACAACACGUGUAUCACCGCUAUAUUCAUGCAUGCAAUGUUUAACACACUAUGAUCUCCUAUUCAAAUAUAUGAAUCCGCUUUCAUAUCAAAUUAUGAUCUUUGUUAGUCUCUUACACUCACACAAUCCUCUAACCUUUGUAGCUACCACUAACUUUCUCUCGUGCAUGCACACACCCUCCUCGCCCUCCCCCUCCCUCGGCAUUCUAUCCACCGGGCACAUUCAUUUUUUUCUUUAGGUCGUUCUCCCAGAGUCUCCACAACUCCUUUCCGACACACACCGAUCGAUAAACCUCUCCAGCGAUGCCUGCCUACAACAUACACACACCUUCAAUCUCCUCCUUUAUGUGUCCUUGCCUCGUGUCUCUCAUACGUUCAGACACACGUGUAAACUCUCGCCCAUCUUUUCAUCGAUCUCACAACCGCACACUCCUCCCCCUAUGUAGCUAGUAGUUGGGCCUCUCGCACCACCUCCUAGCUCCAUUCUCUCUGUCUAUCCAUCUCGCUGGGCCUUAUUUGCCUCUAACAAAUGGACGUACACCGACCGAUCUCUCGCUAUACAUAUAGCUAGCUAGGUCCUUAUAACUCAUUUUUACCCACACGCCAAUCGAUCUACCUCAUUAGUUGUGUCUCUCCCUUCCUUCGACAAACAACAAUUGAUCUACCGAUCUAGUUAGGUUUGCUUACCAAACACAUGGUUCCCCUUCAUCAUCCAUGGAUGCGUCCCGACAGAUCUAUCACGCACAGGCACACACAGAAACACAUCCCCACUCUUAUUGAUAACAUUGCAGUUCCACCCUCAGUUUGUCUAGUAGGCCUCUCCCACCAUCUUCGAGAAGCAACUCCAUCACCCAUCCAGCACUCUACCCCUCUCCCUCCCUCUCCCUCCCUCUCUCUCUCCUCUCUCUCUGUCCCAUCAUAUUUCCCGUCCUUCAGUUAUGUAUGGAUGUCGACCGAUCUCCCUCAAGACAUAGCUGGGUCUCUCCUUCUCAACACAUAUACGAGUCGUUCUACCUCUAUAGUUAGGCCUCUGCCUACCCCUCCCCCACCCCCCUCCCCCCACACACACCGAUACAUCGAGUGCUCUAGUCAUGUCUCCCUGCUACACACAAACUUGACAUGUGCCCUCUAACGUUCCGGUAGGCCAGUCGCCCUAUAUCUUUGACUUGCACACAAACACAAUUUCGAUGGCUCUCUUCAUCGAUCUCGCACCCUCCCACUUGAUCCUCUCUUCGACUCUAUCAAUAGCUAUGACCCCUCCCUCUCUUCUCGUGGAUUGCCCGACCCUCUAUGUAUGAUAUGGAUAGGCCUCCAUUUCACACACAUUGCAUGCAAAAUUUUGUUUGAGAUGUCAUCGACACAUAUUCCCACAAAUAAUUCAUGAAAUCAACCCCCCACCCCACCCCCACCCCAAAACAAAAAACACUCACGAACGCGGUUUAUAUAUCUCACACACACCCACGUAGGUGGGGGACGUGCACGAAGAGAAGAGGUGCAUGCACGGCGCACGUACUUCCGUCUCUUUCCCAACCACACUCGCGCGGUACACGGUGGAGCUCAUUUCUGUACAAAAAGGCAGCCCAUGUGGUAAUUUGGCACAUGUACUGGUUGUCCACUUGAUGGAGGGAGGAUCGUCUACCACGGGUGAACAAACAAAUUGCGACUUGACGUGUUAUGUUAAAAAAAGAGGCAAACCAUGUGGGGCCUACCUUAGAGGCAAGGCUCUAUACAUCGGAGUACUUUUGAUGUGUCCCGUCAACUCGCAGAACGAGGAGAAGCUUGCUUAGUACGCCGUCUCCCCCGCCCACGGGCGCGGUGGCUCACAGGAUGAGGUGAAGCUUGCUCCGCCUUACGCCCGCUCCCUCGCCCAUGCGCGCGGUGGCUCGCAGGACGAGGAGAAAAAAUUACUACUCCCUCCGUUUAUUCCUCGUCCCUACUACCUUGGUUAUAGAGAUUAUAUCAUAUUGUUUGGAAUAUAUAUGUCCUUUAGUAGAUUUCAAUAUGAACUACUAGUACAUACUCCAAACACUGAUGUAUAUAGACGUAUUUUAGAGUGUAGAUUCACUCAUUUUGCUCCGUAUGUAGCACUCUCCCUCGCCCCUCGACCCUCACCCACGUGGUGGACGUGCAGCAAUUCAUUCGGUCUCAUAUAGCCAGAACGAUAUAUACCGCACUACCAUUAUUGCUCGACUUCCUGAAGAGGCGAAGAGCCAAUCGCAAGGUUAAUAUUUUGGAGAUGCCAAGCGCAAGGUUAUAGGAGAACGAGUAGUAGGUGCCGCGUCAUUUAUAAAUAAAGUUUUUUUUCUUCAAUGGCACGUACGCAAUAUGAUAGAUUCAUAUGGAGAGAAAAGGAAACCGCUCCACUAUAUACAUAGUCAGGACGGGCCAGCCUACACGGUUGCUUGCUGGGGUUGCUCUCUUCACACUCUCUCGCACAAAACGACUGUGGCCACAUCUCUAACAUCCCGGCGGAUCACGUCCGCUUGGGGAAGGGGUGGAUGCUUAGUGUAGAUGCGGUGGCCGUCGCCGAUGGCGAAAACCCACUGUCGGCAUGUCCCGAUCAUGGGUCCCCGCCAUUCUCUCUCACAAAGCCGGUGAGGUUGCCUUCGUCCCUUGCUCACUGCCGCGACAUGGGCAGUUGCCACCUCCCGCCGCCAUCCUCAAGGUUGCGCUACGUCCCUCAGGUACAACUCCCUUUAUAGCCGGCUUGCACCACUGCUCCAACUCCCUGUGGAUAUUUCUCUACUUCUUUGCCCCGCACAUACCUCUACUGGCUUCUACGUACUGUAUUUGUGAUGAGUUUAUGUCUCAUCAACUAGUCCCAGUAAUCUUAUUCUAAUCACGCUUCUUCAAUUUCUUUGCCACAGGGAUGCUCAUCUUGAUUUUGGUGAAACUGCACAAAAUGAUCCGAUGGUCAAAAGGUUGCAAACUUCAUUUAUUAGGAAGCUCGAACGUUGCCAGCAAAUUGAAGCCUGGUCAGGGUUCACGGUUCAAGGGCUAGGGACUGCAUGGAUCGUUUUUUUCUUUAGCUGCCUCUGUUCCAAAAUAAGUGUCAACUUUAGUAGUAGUACAAAUUUGUACUAAAGUUUGCACAAAGUUGAUACACUUAUUUUGGAACAGAGGGAGUACAUAUUUGCUAUGAUCUGUCAAUCAUUGAGAUGCAAUAGCAUGCAUGUUAGUCUCCUUUGUAUUUGAUGAAAUGUUGCAACGGGCAACCUUGGACGCAAGAUACAUGUAACAGAAGCUGGAAGCUUCAUAGCAUUGUACAAAUUUAUCUCGCUGAUAAAUUACAGUACGUACUAUACUAGUACUUCCUCCGUUCCUAAAUAUAAGUCUUUGUAGAGAUUUCACCAUGAACCACAUGCGGAUGUAUAUAGAUGCAUUUUAUGUGUAGAUUCAUUCAUUUUGUUCCGUAUGUAGUGGAAUCUCUACAAAGACUUAUCUACUAGUAAUAGCUAGCCCACUACUAGGAAUUCUCUAUCCUCUCCUUGAGCCACAUCAUCAAAAUUGAUGUAGCCGUUAGAUGAAGUAAAUCAGUCCAUAAUAGCCGUCUGAUCUAGACAUUGAGAGGCUCCGCACUAAGCCACAUGCAAGCAUGCAGAAAUACCGUGGCACAUGCAUGUGAGUGGGUUUUAAAUCACAUCAACAUGUCUGCAUGCAAGCAUGCACCGGUAGCAUGCAUGUAAGUGAGCUUUUAAGUCCCAUUAACAUGUAAAAAGAAAAAUAUAAUCCCAUUAUGCAGUAGGAGUUGGGUGAUCUUUUUUCCUUACGUGGGAUGAUCUAAAUGAUGAUGGGAGUUUAUUUAGUUUGGCUACCACAUUUGUCAUGCGGUUAUAGAGUUUUUUUAGUUCUAUUAAAUCCAUAAUUUUGCGCAGAGAGAUAUACCGCUGUUCCGCGGCAACGCGCAGGGACUCAUCUAGUAAUAUUUAGAACGGAGGGAGUACUAUGUAAAGAGUUAUGUGUCGCACGGUGAUAGUGUGAGGUGGGCCAUGUAAUCACUGAGCCUGCGUGUUUUCACUGCUCUUGCACGCCUCCGCUGUAAGAAUGGAGAAAAUUGUAAUCUAGUAGUAGUACCUCCUUUCGCCGAAAGCGUGGAACAUCCAGCAGUCCUACCACCUCAGUAAUAAAGACCAAUGAGCCGUCAAAUCACAUAGACCCAGCAGUAAGUUGGACGGACGAAGCAACCAUCACUCUUGCGCCAGUGAGAGGUCGCGUCCGCUCUGCCCGGGCAUGAAUGCAGCACCGAUUCUUUGGAGCGGCGCUGACCGUUUCGGGAGGGAAGCGCGCGCGGGCGAUGGAGGGGCUUUGGGUGGGUCAGGCUGGUCAGGAGCGGGCGUGGCAGCUGUCCGGAUGUCCCCACCGGACACGCCCGGAAACGAGAGGAUGCACUGACUCUCGCGGCUAAAAUCGUACACUACACAACAUCUCUCUGUAGGAGUAGGUCGAUCUGUCGCUCUCUCUAACACACACAUGCUGUUAAACACACACACACACACACACACACGCACAUGCACGCACCUUGGUCCCGUUGCACCUUCUAACGUGACUUAUUACACCUAGACUGAGGGAGUAGUAAGUAUACGAGAUACGGUGGCACACUGACUUAAGUCGAAUACAAGUGCCCAAAAUUUGUGUGCAUGUUAUAAUAAGGAUUCACUUAAAAUAGUACGUGAGCGAACAGAGGGAUCAAUUGGACAGUGUUCCCGAGAAGUAGCGAGAUGUGUGAGGUAAGAUACACCGCUGGCGCUUUUAAUUUUUCUUAUUAAUUUGUUUGUUUCACCCUCUGACUGGUGGGACCCAACGUACUACGUGGAGAGAGGUAAGGUGACUAAGGUUGCAUUAUUUCUGCACCACUGUGGAUAGUCUUACCACCAAAGCCACAUGACACGAUUAUGAUUGAAAUCCCAAUGACUCCCACACACAAAAAAAACACG
rnacentral:lncRNA from 1 species